rnacentral:rRNA from 1 species
ACGGGGGGAGCGAACGUUGUUCGGAAUCACUGGGCGUAAAGGGCGUGUAGGCGGCUGAAUAAGUGGGAUGUUAAAUCCCCCGGCUCAACCGGGGACCUGCAUCUCAUACUGUUCAGCUCGAGCACAUCAGAGGAGACUGGAAUUCCCGGUGUAGCGGUGAAAUGCGUAGAUAUCGAGAGGAACACCUGCGGCGAAGGCGGGUUGCUGGGCUGACACUGACGCUGAGGCGCGAAAGCCAGGGGAGCGAACGGGA